rnacentral:lncRNA from 1 species
AUGGCCCCACCGCGGGGAAAGGCGACGCGGAGAGCUUCGGAAACCGCCUCCGGGGUCUCGGCGCCGGCUGUGGAGGGCGGAGCGUCCGCGGCGCCCAGCGAGCCCGCGGCUGUCCCCGAGGCCGCCCGGCCCCGCGCUCGCAGGUGCGGUCCCGCUGGGGCGUCGGGCUCCCGGAGGGAGAAGAGCCGCCUGGAUCCUCGGGAGAAGCCGCAGGUGCGCGCGCGGGCGGCCCGCGCCGAGGACCAGGCGGAGGGCCUGGCGGCUCCGACCGCGGACGCAGAGCCUCCCGCGGACCCCGGGCACCCCUUGCCCAGGGCUACCGCUCGCAGCCGGGCGACCCCGAGCUCUGCUCGGGCGCGGAGACCCCAGUCCGGGCCCCCGGAAGGCCCCGGCCCGUGGGCCCCCGCUCCGCAUCUCGGGCGAAGGGAGGAGGCGCCCGGUGCCUGGAAGCCCCGGGCCGUGCUGGAGAAGUUGAAGCUGAGCCGUCAGGCGAUAUCCAUGGCGGCGGAGGUGGUGAACAGGUUGGUGGACCACCUGCUGCGGCGGCUGAACAGUUGCGAGUCGGAGUUCAAAGGCGUCGACCUGCUCCGCACCGGGAGCUACUACGAGCGCGUGAAGAUUUCUGCUCCUAAUGAAUUCGAUGUUAUGUUCAAACUGGAGGUUCCCCGAAUUCAGCUGGAAGAAUAUGACAACAGUAGUGCUCAUUACUUUGUGAAAUUCAAAAGAAAUCCCAAAGGAAGUCCUCUGGAUCAGUUCUUAGAAGGGGGAAUCUUAUCGGCUUCUAAGAUGCUGUCCAGGUUUAGGAAAAUCAUUAAGGAAGAAAUUAAAAAUAUUGAAGAUACUGAUGUCAUUAUGAAGAGGAAGAAAAGAGGGAGCCCUGCUGUAACACUUCUGAUUAAAAAACCUAGAGAAAUAUCUGUGGAUAUCAUCCUGGCUUUGGAAUCAAGAAGCAGCUGGCCUGCUAGCACCCAGAAAGGCCUGCCCAUCAAUAACUGGCUUGGAGCAAAAGUUAAGAACAAUCUAAAACGACAGCCAUUUUACCUGGUACCCAAGCAUGCAAAGGAAGGAAGUCUUUUCCAAGAGGAAACAUGGCGGCUGUCCUUCUCUCACAUUGAAAAGGCCAUUUUGAAAAAUCACGGACAAUCUAAAACAUGCUGUGAAACUGAUGGAGUAAAAUGUUGCAGGAAAGAGUGUUUAAAGCUGAUGAAAUACCUUUUAGAACAACUGAAAAAAAAGUUUGGAAACCGAAGGGAACUGGAUAAGUUCUGUUCUUAUCAUGUGAAGACUGCCUUCUUUCAUGUCUGUACCCAGGACCCACAUGACAGUCAGUGGCAUUACAAAGACCUGGAGCUCUGCUUUGAUAACUGUGUGACAUACUUUCUUCAGUGUCUCAAGACAGAACACCUCGAGCACUAUUUCAUUCCUGAUGUCAAUCUCUUCUCUCGAGACAAAAUUGACAAGCUAAGUAAAGAAUUUCUGUCAAAGCAAAUUGAAUAUGAGCAAAACAAUGGAUUUCCAGUUUUUGAUGAAUUUUGAAAUUUUGCUUUUAAGAAGAAUCCAAGAAUUAGAGUGACUUUAUAAUAAUUGAAAUGUAUCACAACAGUGAUUGACUAAAAUGAAUAUAAUUAUUCAGCCAUCAGGUUGUCUUCAUCAAGUCUAAUCAAUAUAAAAGGAUGGAUUAUCCUAGAAAAGAGAUUAUGUAAUAGAAGCAAAGGAGUAUUUAAGGGUCUCCAUUGUGGUCCAAUGGUUAAGAAUCUACCUGCCAAAGCAGAGGACAUGAGUUUGAUCUUUGCUCUGAGAAGAUCCCACAUGUCCCGGGCGACUCACCACGUGUCGCAACUACUGAGCUUGAGCUCUGGAGCCUGCAAGUCGCAACUGCUGAGCUCAUGUGCUACAGUACCCCCUAGAGCCUGUGCUCCAUAACAAGAGAAGUCACUACAGUGGAAGGUCCUCAAACUACUAGAGAAUAGCUCUCAUUCUCUGCAACUAGAGAAAGCCCUCAUGCAACAACGAAGACCCAGCCAUAAAUAAUAAGUAAAAUAUAAAAUAUAAAAGCUUCAUCAGAGUGGGGUGAAAAGAAGGACGAAAUACAGAUCACCUCAAUUAAAUUCAUCAAACACUUACUGAACAGCACUCCUCACCUAGCACAAGUGUGUGGAAGGUGGCAAAAGACAGUGUUAGAAAUGAUCAUUGCCUCUAUGAACGGGUAGAUUUUGUUGAACAUAUGGACAUAUUUGGAAGCAGGGUCCUGUCCUAUGUGAUAGGAUAGGUAAGAAGGAAAUGAAAAAAUUGGUUCUGCAUGUCUUGGGAAAUUGAUUAUCUUUUAUAGAAAAAUAUAGGAUACUUUACUACAUGGCUAAAUAUAAAACAUAACUUAUUUUCUUUUACUUUAAGUAAUACUUUU